UUAUGAUAGAACUCGUUAAGUAACUCCGGGAUAAUAUUAUUUGAUCCCGAGGAGGUGAGUACUUCCAAGUUGCCUGUUUUCAAACCAGGAAAUAAUGGAGGGUACAGAGACACAAGUAAUUGCACGCUGAACUGUCUCUACGGGGUGAUUAGCUGCAGACACACAGACCAGACUUCAGCUGCCUGGGGAGAGUCCAAAGAUGGAAAAACACUUCCUCCUCAGGAUUUCUCCGAGAGGAACAAUCUGCUCGCCGGAGGGUACCGAGGAAGGUCGCUCGGAGCCAGGCCAGCCUCGGGUCUUCCUACUCCUGGAGCGGGGGGCUCGGGAGGCGGCGGGUCGGGCCCCGUACGGAUCCCCACGUCUCGGCUCCCCCACAACCACUGCCUGUUAACGUGGCGGCGGCCGGGUAAGGCCGCCAGGGACACGGUCGGGGCCGUCGCACCCAGAGACGCUCCAACACCGUCCGCGCCUCCAGCGCUCAGGCCCGCCGCCUCCCGGGAGCCCCUGCCCCGUGGCGCUGUUACCUUGGAUGCCGGUCUGGUGGGACAUGGCGGCGGCCGCAGGUUCCCGGCUCCGGCGCAGGGUGCGGCAGCGGCACCGGCCGGCGGAUCCAGGAAGUAGCGGCUCCGCCUGCGCGUCAUCUGCCCGCGACCCUCCGCCCCGCCUCCCAGCACCAGCCGCCUUCGCCGGCCGGGCACAGUCCCCGCCCACGUCCCCGCCUCCUGCCCUUUCACUGGCUACUCUCUGUUGUCGUCACAGUCCCCGCCCCGCCAGGCUUUAAUCACGCCUUCCCGUCACUGGCCCCACCCCUCGCUCCCCGCCCUCUGCUGCUGUGCUUAACAAGGCAGUAUCCUUUGGCGACUUGUUGAGUGUAUACACGUGUCUGCACAGCGAUCCCCACCAAAAAAUUCUUAGAGGAGAAAUAAGCUGUUUCCCCAAGCAUAUGUUUCCUAAGUAAAAGACAUGCCCUUUGUUGUAAGGAAACGGCCCCUUUAAGGCGACAGAUAAAACAGCUUAGCACUAGCACAGCAUAAGUAAGAUGGGGUUCAAGACCACUUCAAGCCCAUCUUAAAAUAUGAGAGCAUAGAGUCCUUUAACAUUUCCCUCGUGAUUUAAAUGUAAAGCUAUUCACUUUUUAAUUGGCCACUCACACAAAACCACAGUUUUCACCUCAAAGAGAAAAUGGUAGUUUAUUUUUAAACAAAUUAUGUGGCUAUGGGUGUAUAUGAGUGUGUGUGUGUGUGUGUGUGUGUGUGUGUGUGUUUGCAUAAAUUCAGGUGCCCCCCAAAUUCCCUAGUAUCAUGUUCCAACUUGGUAACAGUUUUAUGAAUUCUUUUUUGCAGAAGCAGAACAAAAGAAAAUCAUAAGUCAAAGCAUCUUUAAAACAUGUAUUUGGUGGGGACAUGGGUUCAGAUAUUAGCUGAUGACAUUUUUAACUUUUAAGCUAAGUGGUUUGACCAUCUCAAAAGGAUUUCCCUAAUGGUUCCAAAGAUGGAUGUUAAUUAAGACAUCGAAGUGGUCAGUGAGUGGGAUGGUCCAAGAUAAUCUGGACCUACCACACCACAGUCCUACACAAUCAGGUCAUUCUGAAGAGUCAGACAACCUUUCAAGUCUUUAGCAGGUGUUGGGUGGCUUUUUUCUUCCUGGGAAUUUCAGUUCACAGCACCUUAAGAGAUCUCAUUGUCCUUUAUGCGGUUCCUCAGAAAAUCAUCAAUAGAACUUUGCUUCAGGUUAGCCCUUUAUUGUUUCAAAUCAAAUGUGUAUUCAUACUUACCCGGAAUAAAUCUGUAUGGAAACAGCA